AGCAUCCAAAGUAUUUACACAAUGUCUUAAUAAACUAAAUUUGAAAAGUUUAUAUAUUUUUUGUGCAAAAUCAAUGACCAAAUUUGGUCACAGAUUUAACAAUUAUUUAAAAACAAUUACACUCAAAAGAUAUUUUACAUUUUAGAUAGUCAUUUUAAAAAGUCUAAAUUGUCCAUGAUGUUUUUUUUUGGUCUAAAUUUUAAAGGCAUUGAAGAACUUUUCCCUGCUUUUCUUGGACGGCGUUUGAGUUUGGCCACUAGAUGGAGCUCGCGCUCCAGUAUUACACUUUUUUCAUGAAGAAUAAGCAAAUAAUAAGCAAAAAACGAUGCUUUAGACCCCAAGUGGUUACUUUAAAAGUGUUUCCUUUAAAAAGUUUGUAAAUUUCGUGUCUGUGAGUUUAUAAAGAUGUUCAUUUAGUCAGCAAUAUAUGUUUAUGUCGACCGAGUUUUAGCAUUAAUCGUCCUAUGAGAAAUUCCAUUAAACAUUAGCAUCAAGCUAGCGGACUUUAGCUUUAUGUGUUAGAUCCAACCCCCAACACUGGCAGGCGGAACGUGAAGCCAACCCGGAAGUAACAAAACGCUGCCGUGCUGUAAACUGUUCUAAUACGCUCUCUGGGAGUCAUCUGGUGUCUUUUCUUCGGUCUGCUUCUGGUGGUGAGUGGAUUUAUAAUCCAAAACAGCAUUUACAUUUUAAGGCAGUAAAAUUUUAAUUUUAACAUAUAAAGAUGACUCUUGUUGAUGUAUGUGAUUCAAUAAAAAUCAUGUUUAAAGUAUAGCGGGUGAACUCGGUCCCGCCCCCUUUCCCCAUAUUUGGAACGUCCGUGUCAGGAGGUGUUAACUCCAGCCAAUAUGGCUGCGGUCGUGAGCUGGAUGUUCACGCUUCAUUUCGGGGGACUGUGGAAGUCAAUGGGUGACGUCAGAGAUGAUUGUCUAAUUAUAUAUUAUGUCUGUGGCCUUAACUGAUUGGAGACGUUCACCACCUGGAUUAACUGCUCUGUAUUUACUACUCUACUAGACCGCACCGGACCGCUCAAUAGAAACGAGACUUAGCUUAGCUAGCUAGCGAGAUUUCGUCACGUUUCCCAGCAUGCACUGCGGCUCAAAAUGUAUCUUUUUAAAAGAAAAAAAACAUUUAAAAUCAUUUUUGUUUUCACCCUAUUUUAUUUAAAACUAACGAACAUAUAGUGUGUAAUUCAAAUUUGCCAAAAAACACUGGAGUUAAAACCAUUUGUUUGCACGUGUGGGUAACAAAGGGGUAUAAAUAGCAAUCGGCGACAAUCGUCUAUUGGUUCAAACUUGGAAGUGUGCUCACGUGCUGGAAGGCACCUCGAGCUGCUCCUUGCACCCUGGGGGUUAACCCGGGGACCCGCCAGGGCGCUAGGAGCAGCUCGAGCGGGGGACUGGUGAAGGCGGGCGGUAGAAAGCGAUUACCGUAAAAUACAAGGGCACCCAACUACAUGUCUCAGGCGCUACCAGUGAGUACUCAGCACAGUACAAGCUGGUAGCGAAUACUGGACUGUAGAGCUUACUCAAUGAGUACCCUGCCAGUUCCCCUCCCAGGUUUGAACCCGCCAGACGCUUGGCCAGCGUCUGGU